rnacentral:rRNA from 1 species
UACGAAGGGGGCUAGCGUUGCUCGGAAUUACUGGGCGUAAAGGGAGCGUAGGCGGACAUUUUAAGUCAGGGGGUGAAAUCCCAGAGCUCAACUCUGGAACUGCCUUUGAUACUGGGUGUCUUGAGUGUGAUAGAGGUAUGUGGAACUCCGAGUGUAGAGGUGAAAUUCGUAGAUAUUCGGAAGAACACCAGUGGCGAAAGGCGACAUACUGGAUCA